rnacentral:lncRNA from 1 species
AGAGAUAACCACCUUUAACUGUAAUUUUCCACUACCUACCCAAAUCCUAUAAAACUGCUGUACCCCUAUCUCCCUUUGCUGACUCUCUUUUCAGAUUCAGCCCAGUUGCACCCAAGUAAAAUAAACAGUCUUGUUGCUCACACAAAGCCUGUUGGUGGACUCUCUUCAUAUGGACUCAUGUGACAUUUGGUGCCGAAGACCUGAGACAGGAGGACUCCUUUGGGAGACCGGUCCCCUGUCCUCGCCCUCUCUCCAUGAGAUCCACCCAUGACCUCGGGUCCUCAGCCCAGCCGAAGGAACUUCUCACCAAUUUUAAAUCGGGGACGCAAAGCCAACAAGAAUGAAGAAGUGGCCAGAUGUGAAUCAGUGCAAGGGCCCAGGACAGCGGAAGAGGUGUGAAGCCAUCCUGUGAUCGGGAAGCCACAGGGUGUCCAGACCCAGCGGGAGCCGAGGAUUCAGGAGAAUCUCCCCAGUCAGCUCCAGAGGUGCCCACAGUGUGAGCUCUAGUGUCUCCCAGGUAGGGGCCAAAGCGUCACCUGCCCGGCCCUGGGGGUGCAAGUGGAGUGGAUUUUACUCCUGUCCAGAAAAUGGAGUGAGACCCUGUCUCUAAAUAAAUACAUACAUUUAGACUCCUCUGUCUUUGCGUGUAUAUAAGCAAAGACAGAGGUGUUUUUAUCAGGAUUACAACAUUUUUCAUAAAAGGUUGGCACAUCAUUACAGCAAGUUGCUUAUAGGCAAUGUUUCUCUAUGAGAAGGGCACAUUUAACAUUUUUUACAAAGGGUGUAAUAGUCAUGGUUUUUCUGUUAUCUGAUCUAAGCAAGGCAGGACAACAAAGGGGAACUUAAUUGAUAACAAGGGUCAUUAAUUAACAGGGCACCACUGGGUGGACACAGUGGCAUCUGUAAUUCCAACACUUGGGGAGGCCGAGGUGAGAGGAUCGCUUGAGGUCAAGAGUUUGAGACCAGCCUGGGUAACAUGGCAAAACUCUGUCUCUACCAAAAAAUACAAAAAUUAACUUGGCAUGGUGGCACAUACCUGCAGUCCCAGCUACUUGGGAGGGUGAGGUGGGAGGAUAACUUGAACCCGGGAGGUGGAGGUUGUAGUCAGCUGAGAUCAUGCCACUGCACUCCAGCCUCUGGAACAGAGAGAGACUCAGUAUCAAAAAAAAAAAAAAGUCUUGGUCAGAUGCAGUGGCUCAUCCCUGUAAUCCCAACCCCUUUGGAGGCCAAAGCAGGAGGAUCACUUGAGGCCAGGAGUUGGAAACCAGCUUGGCCAAAAUAGCAAGACCCUGUCUCAAAACAAAAAACACUACCAAAAAAAAAAAAAAAAAAAAAAAAAAAA